rnacentral:rRNA from 1 species
GAUGAACGCUGGCGGCGUGCCUAAUACAUGCAAGUCGAGCGAACAGAUGAGGAUCUUGCUCCUCUGACGUUAGCGGCGGACGGGUGAGUAACACGUGUAUAACCUACCUAUAAGACUGGGAUAACUUCGGGAAACCGGAGCUAAUACCGUAUAAUAUAUUGAACCGUAUGGUUCAAUGGUGAAAGACGGCUUUGCUGUCACUUAUCGAUGGAUCCGCGCCGCAUUAGCUAGUUGGUAAGUAAACGGCUUUCAACGGCAACGAGUCGUAGCCGACCUGCUGGAGGGGUCGUCGACACGGGAACUGAGCCACGGUCCAGAGUACUAAGGGAGGCAGCAGAAGGGAAUGUGCCGCAGUAGGCGAAAACAUGACGGAGCAACGCCGAGUGAGUGAUAGAAAUCUUCGGAUCGUAAAACUCGGUUAUUAGGGAAGAACAAAUUUGUAAGUAAAUAUGCACGUAUUGACGGUAACUAAUAAGAAAGCAACGGCUAACUACGUG